AUUUGAUAGUACCUUACUACUUGGAUAACCGUGGUAAUUCUAGAGCUAAUACAUGCUGAAAACCCCGACUUCGGGAGGGGUGUAUUUAUUAGAUAAAAAACCAACGCCCUUCGGGGCUUCUUGGUGAUUCAUGAUAACUUCACGGAUCGCAUGGCCUUGCGCCGGCGACGGUUCAUUCAAAUUUCUGCCCUAUCAACUUUCGAUGGUAAGGUAUUGGCUUACCAUGGUUUCAACGGGUAACGGGGAAUUAGGGUUCGAUUCCGGAGAGGGAGCCUGAGAAACGGCUACCACAUCCAAGGAAGGCAGCAGGCGCGCAAAUUACCCAAUCCCGACACGGGGAGGUAGUGACAAUAAAUACUGAUACAGGGCUCUUUUGGGUCUUGUAAUUGGAAUGAGUACAAUUUAAACCUCUUAACGAGGAACAAUUGGAGGGCAAGUCUGGUGCCAGCAGCCGCGGUAAUUCCAGCUCCAAUAGCGUAUAUUAAAGUUGUUGCAGUUAAAAAGCUCGUAGUUGAAACUUGGGCCUGGCUGGCGGGUCCGCCUCACCGCGUGCACUCGUCCGGCCGGGCCUUCCUUCUGAAGAACCUCAUGCCCUUCACUGGGCGUGCUGGGGAAUCAGGACUUUUACUUUGAAAAAAUUAGAGUGUUCAAAGCAGGCCUUUGCUCGAAUACGUUAGCAUGGAAUAAUAAAAUAGGGCGUGCGUUUCUAUUUUGUUGGUUUCUAGAGACGCCGCAAUGAUUAACAGGAACAGUCGGGGGCAUCAGUAUUCAGUUGUCAGAGGUGAAAUUCUUGGAUUUACUGAAGACUAACUACUGCGAAAGCAUUUGCCAAGGAUGUUUUCAUUAAUCAGUGAACGAAAGUUAGGGGAUCGAAGACGAUCAGAUACCGUCGUAGUCUUAACCGUAAACUAUGCCGACUAGGGAUCGGGCGAUGUUCUUUUUCUGACUCGCUCGGCACCUUACGAGAAAUCAAAGUUUUUGGGUUCUGGGGGGAUUAUGGUCGCAAGGCUGAAACUUAAAGAAAUUGACGGAAGGUCACCACCAGGCGUGGAGCCUGCGGC
rnacentral:rRNA from 1 species